CCGACGGUGAGGGACGAAAGCUGGGGGAGCAAACCGGAUUAGAUACCCGGGUAGUCCCAGCCGUAAACGAUGUGCGUUAGGUGUAUCGGUGACCACGAGUCACCGAGGUGCCGAAGAGAAAUCGUGAAACGUACCGCCUGGGAAGUACGGUCGCAAGGCUGAAACUUAAAGGAAUUGGCGGGGGAGCACCACAACAGGUGGAGCCUGCGGUUUAAUCGGACUCAACGCCGGGAAACUCACCAGAUAAGACAGCUGAAUGAUAGUCGGGCUGAAGACUCUACUUGACUAGCUGAGAGGAGGUGCAUGGCCGUCGUCAGUUCGUACUGUGAAGCAUCCAGUUAAGUC
rnacentral:rRNA from 1 species